rnacentral:lncRNA from 1 species
UGGCUCUCUCUCGUCUCUCUUGCUGCCAGGCAGAAGGUGUGGAUGUGCUUCCAAGCCAUGUGCCUUCAUUCAGUGAUUCCACUUCUCUUCACCUCAUGCAAGAGGAAGAACAAGAAGAAUUUGUUUCGUCAACUGAGGUCAUCUCAUACCUGUGCUUUUCUCAAUGAGAAGGAACAUCAUUUUAAGAGUCUAUACCUGUUUCACAAUUGCUCCAACAGUUUUGGAUGAAAAUAAUUU